rnacentral:rRNA from 1 species
AUGCCAGACCCGCUGCCGCACGCACCCGCCGCGGGCAUGGUCGACGCCGUGCACGACGACACCAAGCUGCAGCGCGCCCUGGUCGGCGGCGGCAUCGCCAAGUCCUCGGUGGCUCUGUUCCUCGCAUUCUUCAGGGCCCCGGCCGGCGUGUUCCUCCUCGACAGCCUGCUCGUCGCCGCCUACUACGGCGUCCUCGUCGCCAUCAUCCUCUUCGGCUUGGCGGGGGCGUGGACGGGGCUCUGGGUCUCGCACGACCCGCUACGCCGGCGUGCCGUCGGGAUGACAGUGCUCUGGGCGUCGGUUCUUUCGCUGCUCCUCUUGGCGGGUGUUGGAGGCCAUGCGAUCCUCAAGUGA